rnacentral:lncRNA from 1 species
GAUGUCCGCUGUCGUGAUUUGGCCAUCAGCAAACAACAGUCGUCGACACGAAGGUGAAAAAAGUAAAUAACAUUUGCCAGAAUUAGGCUAGUACAGCACGAGACGUUUCUUGAACGUAUUUUCCUAAUAAAUUGUUUAUUUGUUCAAAAUAUACUGCAACGAACGAGGUUUUACGCUUGUAUUUUAUCCGCAUCCCUCGUCGAAGCAAAUCCCAACGGCCAAC